UACGUAGCUUUGCAAGUUUAGCCUGGCACAAAACAGGCAAUCACAUAGGACUACAGUGGUCUUUGUUUAUUGGGUAUUAAACAACAUGAGAAAUUACAGAACGAAUCAGUAGUGCAAUGAGAACUUCAUAUUGAAUUCAUGCAAAACUCAAAAUAUGAUUGGAAGAACAUAAACAAAAACCGGCUUGCGGGAAAAUACUACUACUUGUAAUAAUUAACGCAGUAUGAAACUACUUGAAUUAUACUGGAAAUGAUGCCAUCAAAGAUCAAACUAUUCUGCACCAGAAUUAUUGCAGAAAAGUUAUAAAAUUCUUAGAUGUAACAUGGUUCUGAAUGCACCAAUUUUUGAAAGCAGCCAAGAUAGAUUAUGUACCCAGGGAGUGAUUAUUCACAAAUAAGAAAGAUUUCUGCAGUAACAUGCAAGUGAAAGUACAGUGUAAAUUGUUGAAAAUAAGAGAAUAAAUAAUAAAUAUUGCUGAUAAAAAACUGAAUGCACUUAGCAAUUGGGAGCCCAAACCCCAACCAAA
rnacentral:misc_RNA from 1 species